CUGCAGGAUAAGAGCAGGCCCUGAGCAACAGAGAUCUGCUGCUCUCAAGUACCUCUAGAGGCCUAGGCUCCUGAGGAAAUGCAUCCUGGAGAUGAGCCAUCCAGUGGUGGAAGGAUCCCUUGGAACACCCCCAUUUGAGAAGCCCAAUAUCGAGCAGUGCUGGAGCUGAAAGACCCAGGUCUGUGAGCAGCCGUCUCACACUCCACGUGGCCCAGCCAGGGUGGGACAGGGCAACGCACCAAGAUGAGCCUGGCAGACAGGAUUACACACACAGAUGUCAGCUCUCUCAUCCCUCCAACAACCCUGUACUUUAGCACAACUGAGAUUUACCAGGAAAAUCUCCCACGCCCACGUGACAACGAUGGCUAAUCCAGGCAGCAGGGAUCUCGCUCUGCAGCCUGCCCCACACUGUGCACCCAGAGAGGUCAGGCACCUUCCAGCAAUGCCCAGCCCCGAGCACGCAGCCAG